AAUAGGUGUCAGUUCUGCAUACAAUUACCUGUGCAGGGAAGAGAGCUGUGCCUUCAGCAGGGACAGCUGCCUACAGAAAACCUAAAAAGGACCUGCACUCAGGUCCCUUUUAGGAGCUUUAUGCUGGAAGAACCAUAAAGUUACAUCCACACCAGUGAAACAGACAGGUCUUGGAGUGUCCUCAGGCAUCAGUUCCAGCUGGAAUGGAAUAACUCACAUCUAAGUUAUUAAGCUCCUCUCUUAAAAAAAAGGAUGCUUACAUUCAAACUCCUAAGUAAGAAUAUUAACUCAAUUAACACCUUUAUUCUUGCCCAGAAUUGUUUGGGUGACAAUAAGCUGGCCCCAAUCAAAACCACAGUAGACCAUCAAUGAUCUCAAGUGCCAGCAGAUGCAUCUGGCAUUGCACUGUUAGCUAGCAGAAGGCCAAACUGUGUGGGACAAUUUGGCUAAGGCCAAUCUGUGUGGGACAACUUGGUCAAGGGAAUAAUAAUACCUUUCCACCAGGACAAUGGGUUUGCUAGACUUUGAAAAGGAAGUGAAGAUAAGCU